rnacentral:lncRNA from 1 species
AAGAGAAUUGUAACCACCGUUGAUGAUCAGGGUUUAGCCACUUAUAAUGUCAAAGUAGAAAGUUUUGGGCAAGUUAAACUUCCUACGCUCUUUUGGGCCUGACUUCAAUCCCCUGAACAAUAAGGCCUCUCUUCAUUCUAUGAAGGUCAACAUCCAUACAUGUCAUCUCCAUUAACCCCCCAUCUUCUUCUCCUGGACAGAAAAACUCUCCAAUCUCCACCUCCAGCCAGCCGUCGGGCCUUUUCUUUGGAUAUUGAGUUUCAUCGAUUUCCAUGGGUCUCCCGGUAAUGUUCUGUCUCCCCAGAAACACAAUGCGCUUACUACUAGUCUCUUCUUCCCCAAAAAGUCCUACCUUGACCUCCAAGGGAUCGUCACGAUCAAAUCCUCUAGCCCCUUCACUUAACAUGAACACAAGAUAAGCUUUGUAGACAGUGGAGGGGGAAAGAAUCCGUGUAUCAAUUUUGCCACGGAUCUCAAGCCACCAAACAACUACAAGCGCAGCCACCUCCUCAAACCUGUUUCAUUUAACAUGACAUAUACUAAUUAAUUGCCUAAUUACACACAUACACAAAUAUUUCAAUCUAUAUAUAUACAUCGCUAAAACAAAUCCAACCGCAGAAUAAGCACGAUAUGGAAACGCUUUCUCAACAUCUUAAAAGCGUAGCUGUUAGCUUAAUCAAACCAACAAAACGUAAGAUGAAUGAAGAAGUUUACAGACCUGGAGUUGGCAAGAGAAAUCCAUUUCCAGUACUCAGGAGUAUCACCCCAAAUAAUCAUAAGGUCCUUCGGCGAUAUCAUGUAACAUUUUUUCCCACUCCAUUUGUCCAGAGUAAAACUCUGCAUAUAUAGAUCAUAGAAACAGAUUGGAAAAGGUUACAAAAACUUAUUCCGGCUAGUUUUUCAUGCAUUAGUUCCAGAAGGCACGAUCUCAAAGUCUAAAGUCAUAUUUUCAUAUUAAUAUACGAAGGUGUAUUCAAUUGAGAAUUUGAGACUUUAAUGGAUUUAUAAAUCCAUAGAUUUUUAUGGAAUUUAAUUGAUUUAUAGAGAUUCCAUAAAAAAUAUUUGAUUCAAUUUCCUCGAAAUCUCAUGGGAAGAGGUUAGAUUUGUGGAUGCUUAAAAUACACUACAAAAUCUCUUCAAUUCCCUCUAAUUCCUCAACCUUAUCAAAUUCUUUAACACUACUACAAAAGGGGGCUAUAGUGUCGGAGGGUGGUGUCGCUUUAAUCUAAUAUAGUGGCGGAUUAGGCAGUUGCGACACUAACUGAACAUGACGUCGGAUUUACUGUCGCUUAUAAGCGUUAUUAAAUGUUUAUGUCGCUUUUAAACCGACGUAAACAUAUAUUUUAAUAAUUUUUAAAUACUAGUGUCGCUUUUAAACCGCCGACGUAAACAUUAUUUUAAUAAUUUUUAAAUACUAGUGUCGCUUUUAAGCGACAUAAAGUGUGUGUAUAUAUAUAUUAAAUAUAUAUAUAUAUUUAAAUUAAAUUUUAUAUUCCCUAAAAAACUAUAAUAAUUAUAUAAUAUAUAUAUUAAAUUAAAUUUUAAAAAAUUGGUGGAUCAUUGGAUUGGCUUAAAUAUACAUACGAUUCAAUUUCUUAAGUGUUAUACAUACAAAAUAAAUAAAUUUAAAUCUACUUAAUAUAUAUAUAUAUAUAUAUACACACACACCAUUGAACUUGAUUGGAUACGAAUUCUAUGAAACUAAUUUCGACAGUUAUAAACGAAAAAUCACGAUUUAACGGUUAUUUUAACUCCGAUUUUGAUGAUUUUUUACAGCUACACUCCUUGACCCUAUAUGAAUACAAUGAAUGGAUUCGAUCUUCAAAUUAAAAUAUUUACACAAGUGGAUACCACAAAAUCUUAUGUUAUACUUAAUGAAAGUAUAAAUAAACUCUAAGUGUUAGUCAAUCUAUUGUUUUGAUGGGAUACAAAUUCUCCGAAACUAAUUUCAACGAUCCCAACCGUCAAACUUGUUUGCAUAUGCUUCGAGAUCACAUCAGCAAAAAAUCACAAAAAACAAACAUUCAGAUAUCAAGUAACGGGACAAAGCUUUUCGACGGUUAUAAACGAAAAAUCACGAUUUAACGGUUAUUUUAACUCCGAUUUUGAUGAUUUUUUACAGCUACAUUCCUUGACCCUAUAUGAAUACAAUGAAUGAAUUCGAUCUUCAAUUUAAAAUAUUUACACAAGUGGAUACCACAAAAUCUUAUGUUAUACUUAAUGAAAGUAUAAAUAAACUCUAAGUGUUAGUCAAUCUAUUGUUUUGAUGGGAUACGAAUUUCUCCGAAACUAAUUUCAAACGAUCCCAACCGUCAAACUUGUUUGCAUAUGCUUCGAGAUCACAAUCAGCAAAAAAAUCACAAAAAACAAACAUUCAGAGAAUCAAGUAACGGGACAAAGCUUUUCGACGGUUAUAAACGAAAAAUCACGAUUUAACGGUUAUUUUAACUCCGAUUUUGAUGAUUUUUUACAGCUACAUUCCUUGACCCUAUAUGAAUACAAUGAAUGAAUUCGAUCUUCAAUUUAAAAUAUUUACAUAAGUGGAUACCACAAAAUCUUAUGUUAUACUUAAUGAAAGUAUAAAUAAACUCUAAGUGUUAGUCAAUCAAUUGUUUUGAUGGGAUACGAGUUCUCCGAAACUAAUUUCAACGAUCCCAACCGUCAAACUUGUUUGCAUAUGCUUCGAGAUCACAUCAGCAAAAAAUCACAAAAAACAAACAUUCAGAGAUCAAGUAACGGGACAAAGCUUUUCGACGGUUAUAAACGAAAAAUCACGAUUUAACGGUUAUUUUAACUCCGAUUUUGAUGAUUUUUUACAGCUACACUCAUUGACCCUAUAUGAAUAUAAUGAAUGAAUUCGAUCUUCAAAUUAAAAUAUUCACACAAGUGGAUACCACAAAAUCUUAUGUUAUACUUAAUGAAAGUAUAUAUAUAUUUAUUAAGUAGAUUUAAAUUUAUUUAUUUUGUAUGUAUAACACUUAAAGAAAUUGAAUGGUAUGUAUAUUUAAACUGAUCCAAUGGUCACCAAUUUUUAAAAUUUAAUUUAAUAUAUAUAUAUAUAUAUAAUUAUUAUAGUUUUUAGGGGUAUAAAAUUGUUACAUUAAUAUAUAUAAUUAUUAUAGUAUUUGUUAGGGUUAUAAAAUUAAUAUAUAUAAAAUUAUAGUAUUUGAAAUAUUAGGCGGGAAAUUUCCCGCUUGUUUGAAUGGAUGGAGAGACUUAGUGUCGGUUUUAACCGACGCUAGUGUCAUUAAAGCGACGCUAUGUGAAUUUCAAAAAGUGUGUCAGAAGUUUGGCGUCGGUUAAAAGCGACGCUAGUUUCAUUAAAGCGACGCAAGUUUCAUUAAAGCGACGCUAUGUGAAUUUCAAAAAGUGUCAGAAGUUUGUGUCGGUUUAAAGCGACGCUAGUUUCAUUAAAGCGACGCGAGUUUCAUUAAAGCGACGCUAUGUGAAUUUCAAAAAAUGUGUCAGACGUUUGCGUCGGUUUUAACGGACGCAAACUAAGUACCCAUAUUUAAACCCCUCUCUUUCCCAUUUCAACCGUGCUUUCAUUUCUCCCCCAAUUUCAGACUUUCUUCUUCUCCUUCCCCAUUUCAUCUGUGCGUCCCCUUCUUCCUCCUUUUCAGUUUUUCCUCAACUCCUUCCCCGUUUGCUUUGGAUCACCAGUUUGAAGAUCAACAUUCUGAAGAACUCCAAUUCGAGGAGGAAGAUCUUGAAGGUGGUUCAUUUUUAAAUUAUUAUGAUUAUUAAUUUUAGUUUCUAUUUUGUAUUCUAAAUAGUUUUAUGCUUAAAUUGAAAAUUUAUUUUUGUUUCUUGGUUUUUAAUUGUUUUUUUUGUAUUUAUGCAUGUUGGAUUUGAAGAGCAAGGACACUGGAAAUCGCAGAUCCAUAAUUUUUUAAAGGUAUAAAACCUGAGUUUAAUCUAUAGAGAUUAGAGCCCUAAUGUUGAAGUAGUAAAGUAUUGGAGCAUUGAUAUGAUGGCAAGCAUGGCAGCAUGGAGUUGCUAGUAUUAUAUAUGGCACUAUGGAGCUACAAAAUCUGUGGUCUUCGACAAAGGCAAGCACAGGAAAGCAUGGAGGAUGAAUUUUUGUAAAUUAUAUGGAAUGUUAGAUGUAGAACAUUUGUAUAUUAUGGCACUAUUUUUCUUUUGAAUUAUUUUUAUUAUUGUUUGUUUUGGCCUAAAAUUGAAAUUUAUUAUUUCGAUUAUAUAAUUUUUUUGAGUUAUAAUUAUUUGAGAACGAAUACAGAAACAGAUUUCGACUUUUUUUUAAUUAUUAUUAUCAAAGGUGGUGUCGCUUUAAACCGUCACUAGUUUGCAUAUUUUAUUUAUUUAAUUGUUCUCUAACGUCGCUUUAAACCGUCACUAGUUUGCAUAUUUUAUUUAGUUAAUUGUUAACUAGCGUCGCUUUAAACCGACAUUAACAUCAGCGUCGCUUUAAACCGACGCUGCGUAGUGGCGGAUUAAGCGAACAAAGCGACGCUGAAGCCCUUUGGUGACGGUAGCAAUGGCGUCGCUAUUCCAAUCCGACAUUGCAGUGUUUAAUGUCGGAUUUUUGCCAAAUUUCCGACAGAAAUCGGGGUUUCUUGUCGGUUUUUGGUCCGCCGGUGAUAGCCUAUAUUGUAGUAGUGUAAAAUCAAUUUCUAAUUGAAUACACUGAAAUGUUAUAAACUUUUUUAAAAUCCUAAUUGAAUACACCCAGAUUUCUAAGGAUUUUAAUAAACUAUCUUAAAAUUCUAAUUGAAUACGCCUUAAAUUUCAGAUAAUUACUUAAAAUCCUGAUUUAAUACAACCCCUAAAACUUUAUCAGAAAGUAGAGAGAAACAAAUAAAAUCUUCAAAUAUAUUCAUGUUUCAAAUUUUGGGAGCUAUCCCUAAUCCCACCACAAAAGUGAAAAAGAAUGUAUAAAAUUACCAUUUUGCCGUCGUCAACGAGGACAGGGUUUUCGCAGAGAGUGAGGUAAAGCUUCUUCUCGGAGGAGGAGGAGUGAGAUAGGAUGGAGGGGAUAUCAGGGGGAAGGAACUUGUCCCAAACAGCGUCGGAAUCAGCCGACGACAGCAGAUCCAUGUGAACGUGAUGAUGAUCGUCAUCGAGUUCCAUCGACACCGGCGUCCCGCAGCCCCCGCAGGUGAUUCCUUCUUCUCCUCCUCCUGAUGCACCGGCGUCGACUGUCUUCUUUGGCAUCUCUGGGUGAUCUCCGCGGCGGAGUCUCUUCAUGUUUUCCGUCUUUUGCAUCUCUGGGUGAUCUCCGCCGCGGUGGAGUCUCUUCAUGUUUUCCGGCUGUCUGUGUCGUUGACUCUCGUGUCGUGCGUGUACUUUGUUGUCCGUGUUCUGUUGUGUGUUAGAAACUUAUAAUAUUUGUAGGAAAACAGGCCUUGGGCGUUAGCGCACGGUGUUUUACUUUUCUAAUGUGGACAAACGCUACACCGUCUAGAAAACUAUAUCAGAAAUUUUUACCGUGAUAUGUUGCGGGAUUGAAAAUUAUAUGAAAUAUUUGAUAGCUUCAAUUUUCAUAAACAAUGUUUGUGUGAAAAACAAAAAAUUACGAAUGGCAAUGCAAUUUAUACGUAACCUUAUUAGGAACAAACUUAGAUACCAAAAGAAAAAUUAAAAAUCUAUUUUAUCAAAGUGUAAAGAGAUAAUUGUUUAUUCAAAAAAGUUGGACCAAUGAUAACGGCAUAAAUUACAAAUGCAGUAUUGAGAGUAUACCAGUCAAACUAAGCUUGCUACAUGCUAAACAAUGUUGAAAAACAUCAUUAGCUUUUUCAAGUGCUAUAUGCAAUGAAUGUAAUUGGAUACCAGACUUGUUCCUAGUUUGAGGUGUUUCCAAAGAAAACUGUUGUCUCUUGGAAAGUUGUGAAUACAACUGCAAAAGAUAAAAAAGACAGUUAGCCAAUGAUUAAAAAAAAAUAUGCAUAAAAAGUUCAAAUUUGAGUUUUGGGAGAGAGGGUGGAGAGAGAGGUGAAGUCACCUUAUAACCGGAGAUCAAAUGUACUUUUUCCAAUUAUUGAGAUGGUAAUUCAACUUGUGAAAUUCUGAAAGCAAACAUUUAAAUCAAGCUUAAUCAAAAUUUAGUACAAAAUGUUAAUUAGAAAUGUGUUAAAAUAGAAGUAAAAAUUAUUGAAACUUGCCUAACGUGAUGGGUACAAUUUUACCAUCUGUUUUUGGAAAAUAUACCGAUGUGACAUACCAUAUGUUGAUCUUGCCUUCUUGGAAGUAAUAUUAGUCGUUGAUUACCAGGUAGCAUAAGUUUGUACAAUAUUUUAUAAAUUAUGAGACAAAUUAUUAUGUCAAAGUUGUGUGCUAAAAAAUCAUUUAUACUUCUAUAUUGACGCAAGUUAUGAUUUUAAUUUGUAUAUACCUUGGUGGAGUCAUUUUGUGUAUGUGUUUCUUAUAUUCAUCAUCCAUGCUAUGUGAAAAGUUAAUUCUAAGUUCUGCAGAAAGUCGCAAAGAAAUGAAGUAUAAAAUUUGAGCGAAGAUUCAAUUAUGCAAAUUUACACUUUUAAACACAUAAUAUUCAAAAUAAAUAAAAUUUGAAUAAAAAGGCACUACCAUUCCAACGCCCAUUGUUUGGGUGAAAUGAAACUCUCAGAAAUUCGUGGCAAAUCCUCGAUGAAAUACUCCAAAAAGAUGAAAAACAUAUAAUUAUAAACAGAAAAAAAGGUACUACGUCAACAAAUCGAUUGAGGUGGAUGAUCACAUCAUUUUCUCUUCCCUUUAUCCUACUCUUUACCCACGUUCAUGUCUGUACAAUGCUCAAGCACAACGCAAAUUAAUUCAAAGGAAAUAUGCACAACCCAAGAGAAAUUAAUUAAUUCAAAUAAUUAUUCACUUCCACUCAACCCAAAUUAAUUCAAACGAAAUCUGCACAACCCAAAGAAAGAGAUCAAACGAAAUAUGCACAACCAAAAUGAAGAGAUCAAACUCUAAUUCUAUCAAAAAGCCAUUAUUCCUAAUGCCACCUUUCUUUUUGGCACCCUAUCCAUUUUCUCAGCAAUCGAUACAGAAACAAAUAAGUCCAUAAAAAAGAAAUAAACCCAAGAAGUAUAUGCACACAACACAAAUCAACCCAAUCAACAAACUUUAUUUAAAUAGACCAAAAUGAGUAAUAAGUCAUUGAACCCUCACUUCACCAUUCUAAGCUUUUCUAUAUCUCUCUACGUAUAUACAAGGGUAGACAUUCAAUCCUCACUUCUUUCUUUUUUGAGAGUUCUACAUACUAAUUGGAGGAAACCAAGGAAUUCGAAGCUUUUCCAUACCUCGGCUUAUAUUUUGGGGGAAUUUAAUGUGUUCUUGAAAAUUGGGAAAAGUGAAUGUGGAGGAAUAGGGGAAGAGUCCAUUGUCUCUCAAGCUAUUCCCUUUGAAUUGCUGUAAAAAAAACUCUCACAUCCACCAUUCCCCCUAUUCCAGUUCAAAAAAUUUAAAUUAAAAAUUUUAAGAAGAAACUCAACAGAAAAUCACUAAAUAGUUCAUAUAAAUUUGGAAUCUUUGUUAUUUUCCUGAAUAAAAAAAGGUGGAAACUUUACCUGAGGAACUGAAAGUCAAGCUGUGAUGAGAGCAAGGUAGAUGGUGCUGCAAAUGUUAUGGAGGGACAAAAUCAGAACUGAUAGGAUGGAAUAAAUCAGUCGGAAAACUCAAGACAUGAUCAACCUGUUCGUUGCCGACCUGCAUCCACACAAAAACCAUUCAAAAAAAUCGCCAAUUAGAUUCGAUAGCAUACCACAAUGUCAUGAAGCAAAAUUAACUAUAAUCACGAAAUUAGCAACCUGAAAUCUGCCGGACAACUCACCAGGAAACCCAACGUUUUCUGGGUUUAAGUUUUCUUCCAAUCUGAAACGGAUUCAUCUAAAACACAACCUCCAGGGCAAAGAAUAUAAUCGAAGGAAAACUAAUGAAAAAGGCUUGAAAACUUUGAGUUUUAAUGAUAAGGACAAAAUAAAGGGUAAAGUGAAUAGUACCAGGAUUGACUUUUUAGUGUAAAAUGUGGUUUUUCGUUAAAGUGAACAGUACCGGAUGCUUUUCGUUAAAAUUCCCUAUAAUCGACCUACAACAGUUUGCUUAACAUUGAAUAGGGAUAGGAAGGUUGUAAACAAUAUAUAUGGGUUUUAAACACUAUAUACAUAUAUAAUAGAGAUACAACAUGAACAUUCACGAUAUUUCCUUGUAAAAUCUAGUAAGCAGAAGGAACUCAGGAUACUUCAACAAUGGAUAAGGAUACUUCCUCAUUUUAUCGGAUUACUUUGAAACUUGUUAGAAUAUAUUCAUUAUCUCGUUAUUUUCAUGAUGAAGAUAGUAUUUUCACUAAAUCUAGUGUAUUUUUAUCCUAUAUUGUCCAAAGUUUGAAUUAAUCCCCGAAUAAUACUUGACAAUAAAUAACAUGGGAACACUGAGAAAUAAGAAAUAAGAAUUCGACAAUCAUACAUGAUUAAAUCACAAAAUGAGUCAAAUAUUCUCAAAAUCAUUCUAAACGUGACAUUGAAAUCAAACUGACCAAAGUUUAUAUAGAACUGAGCAUAUCAUCUCUUCUUGUUCUUGAUCACUGUUGUUCCCAAUGCGGUCCAUUCCGGCUUCCCAGAAUUAUCGUCCGAAAAGGGUUUCACCAGAAAUUGGUGAACAGAACUUUUGUCCCUUCCACUAAUUUAGUACGCAGAGAAAAGAUUGGAAGGGAAACAAAAUCCAACAAAUAAAAAAGGGGUCAGUGAAACGAUACAAAUAUUCAUAAAAAUUAAAUUUUCUGCAAGGGGCAUCCCAGAAUUUAAAUUCACACUAAACCCAUUUUCUAGUUCUCUUAAUUGAAGCGAACCCAGAAAUAAAAUAACGAAAAAAAUGAAAAAAUAUUUCUCGGGAUCCAAACACCUCAAAAGCCCCGAACAUAAAAAUUAAAAAAAACAGAAUACCUUUGCGGGUUUGGAACUCUUCGCUCAUAAGUGUUAACAGUAGGGUGCUGCGUCUUUUUCAGACGGUCACUUCGUCGUCGUUUCCAUCAGUAACAAUUGGAGGUGAAGCUGCUGGUUUUGGGUGAAGAAGAAGAGGAAGAUGAGGGUUUGAAGAAGGCACUGACCUUCGAUUGCAUUGCAUGAAUGUGUCGGAUUGGAUUUGAAUUGAUUUGAGUUCAUUGCCCUUCCAUCGUUCUUUGGUUCAGAGAAAACAGAAUGAAGGAAAAAAGUGGAGAAACAUUGUCGAUAAGUGAGAACGAACAUAGAUAACCCAGAGAAGAAAAAACUAGGGAGAGAACUCGAGCUAGGUUCGUGUUCUCAGCGAGAUGGACAAGGAUUAUCUGCCCUCCCAUUUCCCGUGCCCUCCAGUUUUGUGUGAUCACGGUUAAGCCACGUCAACAUUUUAUAUUAGAUCACGCAAAAUAGGAGGGCACGAGAAGUGGGAGUGCAGACAAUCCUUGUCCCAGCGAGAGAGCCAGUGGACUUCUGCCAUCCCCACGAUUACCAACAUGUGUACAUCAAGGUAGCGGCAGAGAGUCGGUGAAAGCGCUUCAGAGACAGAAAUGAAAUAAAACAAAUCAACCGAGGGCAAAUAUGCCCGGACACUGGUGAUGAACAGUGCUGAGGAACUCAGUUUUUAUGAUUUCCAAAAUAAGAGAGAAAAUUACCAACUGCUUAAAUUUCUAGGGAAAAAUUAACAGAUAACUCUAUUCAAAAUAAGAGAAGAGGUUAUUGGGUUUCCUUUUUCGCUUUCAUUUCAAAUUUUUUUACUUUAGUAAGUCAUCAGCACUAUCUAGUAUCUAGUGUAUAUUCUCAAGUUAGAAAUCUCAAAUUCAACUUAUCUUGUUAACAAAUUUAAUGAAAUAACACUGACAGUGGCAGACCGACGUUAGUAAAAAGUACUUGAACUCGGUUUGAUUUGUGACGCGAUGCCAGAUGACCUCGGUUCAAUUUGUUGUGCACCAUGAACUUGGCCGAGAAGAGAAUGCAGACAUUCUUAGGUCAAAAAACUAUACGUGUGAUAACACAUCUCCUAAUCUCCUCAUCCAUCAAAUAAGUUUAUAACGUUUUACAACUAGUAUUCAAAGGUGAAAGGAAUCAUUAAAUAAUUAUUCAAGAUGACUGUAACCACUGUUAAUGAUCAAGGUUCAGCCACUUAUAAUGCCAAGAUUAAAGAACCAAAAGGGUGCGGUUGUCGCGGUGUGACCAUAGAAAUUGGUGUCCGGUAAGAGAUAGAGAAGCAAGACUACACUUUGGCAAUCAAGUACAAGAGCUCCGAGGAAGAAGCCAUCUCAUUUGGUGCAAUUGUUUGGGAAGAAGAGAGUGAAAAUUUUACUAUGAGGAGCCCUAUUGUGAUCUCGAGUAGCCCUACUGUGAUCGUUGCGUAAGAACACAUUAGCUAGCAUUUCGGGUAGUUUGGUAUGACUUCCUGAUAUGUACGACAAUGCACCCAUUACGUGUAAGUCCUUAAAAAAGGCUUAACUUUCUACACUCUUUUGGGCCUGACUUCAAUCCCCUGAACAAUAAGGCCUCUCUUCAUUCUAUGAAGGUCAACAUCCAUACAUGUCAUCUCCAUUAACCCCCCAUCUUCUUCUCCUGAACAGAAAAACUCUCCAAUCUCCACCUCCAGCCAGCCGUCGGGCCUUUUCUUUGGAUAUUGAGUUUCAUCGAUUUCCAUGGGUCUCCCGGUAAUGUUC